CGCUCAACACCGGUUGAAUAGGGCUGGUGUCAGCAAACAACGGCAAAAAAAAGCUUAAUUCAAUUGUUGCCAGCAGCACAGUUCUAGUCACCAACGCUCUGGAUAACAUGAAAAACGCAUAACCAGCUCUGCUAGAGCAAGUAAAAUGGCCAGAGUGCGGUGUUAUCUAUUUAUCCAGUUAAUUUGGGUGCCGUUGAGGUCACUCCUACUCCUCGGCCAGAGCCUCCAGCAUGCGCUCCCACAGCGAAAAGCUCUGAAUUUACUAAAGGGCAAUAUGACAGUUAAAUAAUAUACAAAAAUUCUGAUUUUACAUACGCCCUCCAGAGUGCAAUACGAACGCACCCAAUAAUGGACACUGCUGGCCUGCAGUGCAAACCGAUAGGCUAUUUAAUUUCAGAAUUGGUUAGAAUUAGGUUAAGGGUCAGAUUUAGAUUAUAUUGGCUCAUUGUUUUCAGGUCAGUAUGUACCCACACUUUUCUGCGAGUGUGUCUUUUUAAAAUCCUCAUCAAUCAGCAGACAAUCUUUCUACAUGAUUACCUGAUUGGUCAAUCUACACCCACGCCAAGGAAGUGCAAACAGAGGUCUUCCGGUCACUGUUUGGUUUGAAUCGAAGAAGAAUGUCAGUAAGGAGGAUAUUAGAGGCAGUUUAGUCAACAAGAUGAAGAUCAAACAACGUUCAAAAACUACGCCACUGCACAAAAAAACCAUGGGGACUAAACGCCAUGGAAACCUGGGUAUAACACAAACAGAACAUGACCCACAGUCAGGAGAUGACUCCACCGGCAGAGAUGAAUCAGAUUGUACCCAAGCACUCUCAAAGAGCACCAGUUCAAAUCAUCAUUCAGAUUCUAGUCCACUCCACAAGGAUCCUGUGGUAGUGCUAACCAGGUUGGCUGAGGUGGUGGUUAAGACACUUCUGAGAGACAUUAAAGUUUGUUUGGUGAAGGAGGUGACGGCUGUCAGGAGGGAUGAAGAAAACCAUGGAGGUUCUCCUCAGUUCUUUCCUUGUCCACACUGCACCAUCUCCUUUACUGACUGUUACUUCCUGGAGAACCACAUCAAGACCAAACACCAGAAGCAGUACCUGGCCAUGUUGAGAAGCCAAGUCUCAAAGAGUAAAAGAGUGUAUGGCCCCACACACCGCUGUCCCCACUGUAGCUGCAUGUUCCAUACACCACGACAGCUAGACAUUCAUACCCGCCAGGCCCACCCCUCUGCCCGUCCCCAGAAACCUGCCCCUCCCAGGAGAACUGGCCGUCCCCACAGGGUUCAGGAGAAAUUCCACACCUGCCCACAGUGCUCCCGCAGAUUCAAGUACCUGGGCAGCCUGCUGAAGCACUGCAAGAGUUUGCACAAAAUGGCCGUUGUUCUCACCAAUGGACACAUCAGUUGCGCAGACUGUGAGAAGAGCUUUGAGAAUUGCUGGGGCCUGGGGCCUCACCGGUGUCACGAACCAGAGGGCAAUAGACCUAAGGACGCUAAACAGAUGGUCAUUAAGGAAGUCGGCUUCCAAUGCUUAGAUUGUGGCAAGAUUCUCACUACUCCUACGAGCCUGAACACUCACAUGCGCAUCCACACUGGAGAAAAGCCUUAUGUCUGCAAGGAGUGUGGCAAGCGCUUCUCAGGUACAGGCGCUUACCGUUAUCACUUGUUAAUACACAAUGGGGUUAAGCCAUUCAAAUGUCAGGACUGUGGGAAGGCUUUCAAGCAGAAGUACCUCCUCAGGAAGCACAUGACUGUUCACUCUGGUGAGAGGAAGUACUCCUGCUCCCAAUGUGACAGGCAGUUUGCAUACAGGGAGAGUCUGAAGCUUCACCUGCGCACACACUCCGGGGCGAGACCUUUCAAAUGUACUGUCUGUGGUAAAGACUUUGCUGACAAAGGUUAUCUGAAGAUGCAUCUGAAGAUUCACAACAACCAGAAAAACUACCAUUGUGGGGUUUGUGGGCAGAAAUUCAUAAGGAUUGGGGUGCUGAACGUACACCUGCGCUCACACACAGGUGAGAGGCCUUACCACUGCACAGUGUGUGACAAGCAGUUUGCCCGACUCGACCACCUGAAGAACCACCAGCGCACUCACACAGGUGAGAAACCAUACACCUGUACCGAGUGCAAUAAAAGCUUCACUCAGUCUGGAGAUCUAACUAAACACAGGCGCCUCCACACUGGGGAGAGGCCAUUUGAAUGUUCUGAAUGCCACAAACGCUUUAUCUGCUCUGCUUCUCUGACCCUGCACAUGAGGACCCACACUCACCGUGACGUAAAGCCAUACUCCUGCCAAGAGUGUGGGAAAAGCUUUUAUGAACAGAGUCAUGUGAACGGCCACAUGAAAAUCCACAAUGGGAAACGUUAUUCCUGCCCCCACUGCUUUCUCAGCUUUGCUCGCAAGUCCAACCUCUCCAAACACCUGCUUAGACGUCAUAAACCUAAAUGAUAAUGAUGUAUAUUAAAAUAGCACCUUUUAUGAAACUCUGUUACUCUUAUGAAUUAAAUGGAGGGGAGUCUGAUCUCUUUUGUCCGUGAUCUAUGUGUGACAUCAAAUUCUAACUCAAUUUUGCCCCAUGUUUAUGAUAACGCUGCAAUGUUUUAACAAUCCUCCAGUAUGGUCACAGUGAGCUCCAUGUAUUGGGACAGUGACACGUUUUGUUUCUCCUGCAGCGCUUUGGAUUUGAAAUUAUACAACGAUUGAGGUUAAAGUGCAGACUCCGCUUUAAUUUGAGGGUAUUUUCAUCCAUAUCGGGUGAACCGCUCAAAGAACAGGUUUUUUUGUACAUAUUCCCCCCCUCAUUUUUAAGGGAAUGGUUACAUUAUUUGGUCCCAUAUUCCCAGCAUGCAAUGCUUACAUUAAGCUUGACUGGAUGCGUUUGCUGUUUGUUUUGGUUGUGUGUCAGGGUAUUUUGUGCUCAAUAGAAAUUCAUGGUAAAUAAUGUAUUGUCACUUUUAUUAUAAAUUAGAAUAGUGUGGUCUUCUAUAUUAGUGGCUACCAUGAUUACGGAUAAAACUGAAUGAAUUGUGAUUAAUGAGUGAAAGUAAGAGGCAUAAAUAUCAUACCCCUUCAAAAUACUAACCUCCCCUGUCAUUGUAAUGGUAAGAUGUUAGCAUGUCUUGGGGGUUUGAUACUUGUGCGUCUGUACUCUUGCUUUCUCACUCAUUAUUCAGGACUAUCCGUAAUCAUUGUAGCAUCAAACAAGUUUGUAGAGUAACAACCUUGUUGUAAUCAUUAUGUGCUAGGGCGAUGGGACCAAAUACUACACUUUUGACUACUUUUACCACCCAAGGAAUUUGUACCAAUUUUUCAAGCCCCCCCCCCCCAUUUUAGGGGAUUAUGUUCAAGAAGUGUAAUUUCUAAACUGUUCAUAUGGAUAAAAAUACUAAUUAAAGCUGACUGUCUACACUUUAACCUAAUAAUCAUUGUAUCAUUUCAAAUACAACGUCUGGAGGUACAGAGCCAAAAGAACAAAACAUAAUUCACUGUCCCAAUACUUUUGGAGCUCUUUUGUUAAUAUUAUUGCUCUUUUGUUUUAUGGAUGUUUGUGUUUAACCAGUUCAAUGUGAGCUACAUAAUCCCCAAAAGUAGUUAUCAUGAGGGCCAUAAAUGAUAACUAGUAAUGUUUCAUACUCAAAUGUAUAAAUAAAUUUGAUUUGAUUUAAAAAUCUCACUUCCGGUAAAAAAUAGGUAUAGAUUGUUGAGGUCACUAUAAAGGAUACUAGCUCAAGUACACACAGUACAAAUGAUGAUACAAUUUUGUCAAAUAGAAUUGUAUGAAUGGGGCUUUGAAGUGUUUAUUCUUUCUAAAUAUUGCUUAAAUUAUAAAAUGACACUAAGAUAUCAUCUUCCUUAACUUUAAAUUACAUAUUUGUUUAGUGUUAGAGAAUUCAUAUAUUCUGGAUGUUUCUCUUGUUCACAAUGUCUGACCCCCAUCGCUGUAAACAUCUCAGAGCUCUAGCUUGACUAUAUUCACUUUUUAGGAACACUCCUUUCAUCCUUAAUCAAUCUCUAAAUGUGCUACUGUAAUGAAACCACUCUCCUGCUGCGCUAUGAUGUAAGGAUUCAGGCAUGUGCUUUGUCAGUAGCUGUGAUUAUAGGGUUCAGCCAGGAGUUGGACAGUUGGAAUAGUGAUUGAAAUGGUAGAAGGGACAUCCCAGCUUCAAGUGGUGUUAGAUUUCACAUCCUACAUCACGCAGGGUUGGAACCGGUACCAGAACCACACAGGUCCCCCAAACAAGGGACCUUAUUUCUAAGAGGUUAUAAACACCAGUUUAUUCCAUUUUAUUUGUUCGGAUGGUUUUAUGACUGAUUGUCCUGAUGAUCAGUAGGCGAUAAAUUCUGAAAGAUUGUCAGUUUUCUUUGCUUUGUGUUUGUAGUGUAUUCCUUGAUUUGGAACAAGAGGAUAAUUUAUUUAAAGGUAACUCUGAUACUAUUGUUAUAAACAUGCCAUUUAAUUAAAGUUAAUUACAUAGACCACA